rnacentral:rRNA from 1 species
UACGUAGGUCCCGAGCGUUGUCCGGAUUUAUUGGGCGUAAAGCGAGCGCAGGUGGUUUAUUAAGUCUGGUGUAAAAGGCAGUGGCUCAACCAUUGUAUGCAUUGGAAACUGGUAGACUUGAGUGCAGGAGAGGAGAGUGGAAUUCCAUGUGUAGCGGUGAAAUGCGUAGAUAUAUGGAGGAACACCGGUGGCGAAAGCGGCUCUCUGGCCCGUAACUGACACUGAGGCUCGAAAGCGUGGGGAGCAAACAGG